rnacentral:tRNA from 1 species
AAGGAUUUAAGUUAAACCAAACUAAUAGCCUUCAAAGCUAUAAAUGAAGAUUAGUGCUUUAAGCCUUA